rnacentral:rRNA from 1 species
UGAAGUAAGUAAGGGCGUACGGUGAAUGCCUUGGUGCCAACAGGCGAAGAAGGACGCGGCAAGCUGCGAAAAGCCUCGGGAAGCUGCAAGCAAGCGAUGAUCCGGGGAUAUCCGAAUGGGGUAACCUGAUCGAGGCAAUACUCGAUCGUUCAUACCUGAAUACAUAGGGUAUGAAACGCGAAACCCGCUGAAGUGAAACAUCUCAGUAAGCGGAGGAAAAGAAAGAGAAAUCGAUUCCGUAAGUAGUGGCGAGCGAAAGCGGAUGGAGCCCAAACCGAAGGUAUUCCUUCGGGGUUGUAGGACCACGUCAUAUUCGACCAUACUGGAUAGUAGAACAGCCUGGAAAGGCUGGCCGGAGAAGGUGAAAGCCCUGUAGACGAAAUCCAGAGUGGGAAUUAGUGGUAUCCUGAGUAAUACAUCACACGUGGAACGAUGUAUGAACCCGCGCGGACCACCGCGCAAGGCUAAAUACUAGUUGGCGACCGAUAGUGAACAAGUACCGCGAGGGAAAGGUGAAAAGAACCGCUGUGAGCGGAGUGAAAUAGAACCUGAAACCGUAUGUCUACAAAGUGUCAGAGCAGAGCAAUCUGCGAUGGCGUGCCUUUUGUUUAAUGAGUCUGCGAGUCAGUGUUUGUGGCAAGACUAAGGGCUUCCGGCCCGGAGUCGCAGCGAAAGCAAGUCCGAACAGGGCGCAAUAAGUCGCAGGUACUGGACCCGAAGCGGAGGUGACCUACCCUUGGCCAGGUUGAAGCAUGGGUAAAACCAUGUGGAGGACCGAACAGGUGAACGUUGAAAAGUUCUCUGAUGAGCUGAGGGUAGGAGUGAAAGGCUAAUCAAACCCCGUGAUAGCUGGUUCUCUUCGAAAUGCAUUUAGGUGCAGCGUCACGUGCUGAUGCGCGGGGGUAGAGCACUGACAAGGCUAGGGGGCACACCCGCUUACCAAACCUUAUCAAACUCCGAAUACCGUGCAAUGGAACGUGGCAGUGAGACAGUGGGGGAUAAGCUUCAUUGUCGAGAGGGAAACAACCCAGACCAGCAGCUAAGGUGCCUAAAUAACGCUCAGUGGAAAGGAUGUGGGAUUACACAGACAGUGAGGAUGUUGGCUUAGAAGCAGCCACCAUUUAAAAAAUGCGUAAUAGCUUACUCAUCGAGUGAUCCUGCGCCGAAAAUGAUUGGCGAUCAAGCGUUAUACCGAAGCUCUGGACUUUGCCGCAAGGCAGAGUGGUAGAAGAGCGUUGCAUGCGCGUCGAAGGGCGAUGGCGACUGACCCUGGAGCACAUGCAAGUGAGUAUGCAGACAUGAGUAACGUUAAGCCGGGUGAAAUCCCCGGCCGCCGUAAACCCGAGGUUUCCAGGGCAACGUGUUUCGUCCCUGGGUUAGCCGGGACCUAAGCCGAGGCCGAGAGGCGUAGGCGAUGGACAUCAGGUUAAUAAUCCUGAGCUCGCAACCCUUAAACUGGGGGGACGCAUGAGAAAAGAUGACUAGGUUAUUGAAUUCCGAGUUGAGUCUACGGACUCAGCGCAUCAUUGGAUCGAGUGCCAAGAAAAGCCCCAGCGUAUGCUAAGCGACCCGUACCGCAAACCGACACAGGUGGGUGGGUAGAAUAUACCAAGGCGUAAGAGUGAAACCUGGUUAAGGAACUCGGCAAAUUAGCCCCGUAACUUCGGAAGAAGGGGUGCCUGCAGCGAUGCAGGCCGCAGAGAAAUGGCCCAACCGACUGUUUAUCAAAAACACAGCACUCUGCAAAGACGCAAGUCGAAGUAUAGGGUGUGACACGUGACCAAUGCCGAAAGAUUAAGGCAAGGGGUUAGCCGCAAGGCGAAGCUCUAAACCCAAGUCCCGGUGAAUGUCGGCCGUAACUAUAACGGUCCUAAGGUAGCGAAAUUCCUUGUCGGGUAAGUUCCGACCUGCACGAAUCGUGAAACGAGUUGGGCACUGUCUCAACCAGGCGCUCAGUGAAAUUGUAGUGGCGGUGAAGAUGCCGCCUACCCGCAGAAGGACGGAAAGACCCUAUAGACCUUAACUGUAAGCUGUCAUUGUUUCUUCGGUUUUAAUGCUCAGAGUAAGUGGGAGACGCUGAAGACGCCCUUUAGGGGGCGUCCGAGUCAUCAAUGAGACACCACCCUUUGAAACUGGAGGAUCUAACCCUGAGCCGUGAAUCCGGCCAGAGGACCGUGUCAGCCGGUCAGUUUUACUGGGGCGGUAUCCUCCCAAAGAGUAACGGAGGAGCGCGAAGGUGGGCUCAGCCCGGUUGGCAACCGGGUGUCGAGUGCAUGGGCAUAAGCCCGCCUAACUGUGAGACCAACAAGUCGAGCAGAUGCGAAAGCAGGCCCAAGUGAUCCGGCGGUAGAAAGUGGAAUUGCCGUCGCUCAACGGAUAAAAGGUACCUUAGGGAUAACAGGCUGAUCACGCCCAAGAGUUCAUAUCGACGGCGUGGUUUGGCACCUCGAUGUCGG